UACGAAGGGGGCUAGCGUUGCUCGGAAUCACUGGGCGUAAAGCGCACGUAGGCGGCUUUUUAAGUCAGGGGUGAAAUCCUGGAGCUCAACUCCAGAACUGCCUUUGAUACUGGGAAGCUUGAGUCCGGAAGAGGUGAGUGGAACUCCGAGUGUAGAGGUGAAAUUCGUAGAUAUUCGGAAGAAUACCAGUGGCGAAGGCGGCUCACUGGCCCGGUACUGACGCUGAGGUGCGAAAGCGUGGGGAGCAAACAGG
rnacentral:rRNA from 1 species